rnacentral:lncRNA from 1 species
UUAUAAUAAACUAGCUACUAGGGUUUACAUGAGUAAGUAUUUGAUGUAUAAAUCCACUUCUGGGGCCCACUUGGUGUGUGUUUGAGCUGAGCUUAAGUGUUGCACGUGCAGAGGCCAUUUGUGGAGUUGAACGCCAGUUUUUGUGCCAGUUUGGGCGUUCAACUCUGGUUUUGGAUCCUUUUCUGGCGCUGGACGCCAGAUUUGGGUAGAAAGCUGGCGUUGAACGCCAGUUUACGUCGUCAAUUCUUGACCAAAGUAUGGACUAUUAUAUAUUGCUGAAAAGCCCUGGAUGUCUACUUUCCAACGCAAUUGGAAGCGCGCCAUUUCGAGUUCUGUAGCUCCAGAAAAUCCACUUUGAGUGCAGGGAGGUCAGAAUCCAACAGCAUCAGCAGUCCUUUUU